CGAAUCCUAUUGCGGAAUGGUUAACGGCUCGUUUGGCGAAGGAUGGCCGCCCAGAUCGACACCAGCAUCUCGAUGUACUCAUCUGAUCUUUGCCGGUCGAUUACCAUGGACUACAUGGAAGAUGUC